rnacentral:lncRNA from 1 species
AGUAAAUGAAAAUAACAUCUUGAUAAUGUUAUCAUGCGAGUCUGAAUAAAGCAAACAGAAGAACACAGUUCAGAACUCGCUGUGUCCCCAGCAUACUACUGGGACCUGGCUGCUGUACUCUGCAGCUGACUUCUGCCCAGAGCGCGGGUGGGCAGCCAUGGCUGGUUACACGUGUGGAAGCAGCCUCAAGGAGGCACAGCAAUUUGCCUUUGGUCACUUGGGAACUUAUCACGUCCCCCUGUCGGCCUUUUGUCCUCCUGGUUAGACCUUUAGAUUUAUCACUGUCUCCAGCUAAUUCAACCUGAAAAAUAUAGAAUAGGAAAAUAUAGCAUUAUUAUUAAAUCAGAAAAUAUAAAACUAAUUUUGGCUUUCUAUUUCUUAUCUAAAUAUAUUAAUGAAAACAUGAUUGUGCCAUGUCAAUAAAAGUAUUCUCCCUUAUUUUUUAUUUUUUCUGUGAUACUUUAUUGAUCAAAAGAAGGACUCGCUGCUAUCCAACACUUAACACCAUUAAAAAUUCAAAUUAAUAUACUGAAUCUUAAGUGUAAAUACUCCUUCAUUUUUACUACCUGUAUGACAUCCUGUCAGUUGGCUACGUCUUCAUCUAUGCAGUGCGUGCCUUUCUGUUCCACAUUUUAAUUUUGACUCUGUAUUUCUGUUAAGAGCACUGUCGUACUUGUCCUGUAGAUGAGUCUUUGUGUACCUCUUCUAUUAAUAACUGUUUCCCUAGGCUGUAUUUCUAGAAGGAAAAUUAGAAUCGUGUAGGUGUGUUCUGUAUUUUCUGUCACAUGUCUGUGGCUUCUGCACGUGUGAACUGAACAUACGCUUUCUGAUUGUGCGCCUCACUCUGCACUCUGCUCUACCUUCACGUGAUGACAUUUCUCUUUAACACCUUUUGUCCUGAAUGGUUAGCAGUUCACAGCAGCAUGUGUGUGGUAUGGGGAGGAAAGAACAAUAAAUUUGUUUGGGAAGGGGGGUGGUUUUAUUUUGGUCAUAUGUCAAAGACCUAGAUGGUUUAUUAUGUGGCCUGUUUUAUUCUUGUAAUUACUUACAAUUGAAACCCUUAUAUG